UAGGGAAUCUUCCGCAAUGGACGAAAGUCUGACGGAGCAACGCCGCGUGAGUGAAGAAGGAUUUCGGUUCGUAAAACUCUGUUGUUAGGGAAGAAAAAAUGUAUAGUAACUAUAUACAAAAGAGACGGUACCUAACCAGAAAGCCACGGCUAACUACGUGCCAGCAGCCGCGGUAAUACGUAGGUGGCAAGCGUUGUCCGGAAUUAUUGGGCGAAAAGCGCGCGCAGGUGGUUUAGAAAGUCUGAUGUGAAAGCCCACGGCUCAACCGUGGAGGGUAAUUGGAACUAAUAAACUUGAGUGCAGGAGAGAAAAGUGGAAUUCCUAGUGUAGCGGUGAAAUGCGUAGAGAUUAGGAGGAACACCGGUGGCGAAAGCGGCUUUUUGGCCUGCAACUGACACUGAGGCGCGAAAGCGUGGGGAGCAAACAGG
rnacentral:rRNA from 1 species